GACGAACGCUGGCGGCGUGCUUAACACAUGCAAGUCGAGCGGUAAGGCCCUUUCGGGGUACGACGAGCGGCGAACGGGUGAGUAACACGUGGGUGACCUGCCCUCAGCUCUGGGAUAAGCCUGGGAAACCGGGUCUAAUACCGGAUAUGACUCCAUGACGCAUGUUGUGGGGUGGAAAGCCUUGUGCGGCUGAGGAUGGGCCCGCGGCCUAUCAGCUUGUUGGUGGGGUGAUGGCCUACCAAGGCGACGACGGGUAGCCGGCCUGAGAGGGCGACCGGCCACACUGGGACUGAGACACGGCCCAGACUCCUACGGGAGGCAGCAGUGGGGAAUCUUGCGCAAUGGGCGAAAGCCUGACGCAGCGACGCCGCGUGAGGGAUGACGG
rnacentral:rRNA from 1 species